rnacentral:rRNA from 1 species
GACGAACGCUGGCGGCGUGCUUAACACAUGCAAGUCGAACGGAAAGGCCCUGCUUUUGUGGGGUGCUCGAGUGGCGAACGGGUGAGUAACACGUGAGUAACCUGCCCUUGACUUUGGGAUAACUUCAGGAAACUGGGGCUAAUACCGGAUAGGAGCUCCUGCUUCAUGGUGGGGGUUGGUAAGUUUCGGCGGUUGGGGAUGGACUCGCGUCUUAUCAGCUUGUGGGUGGGGUAGUGGCUUACCAAGGCUUUGACGGGUAGCCGGCCUGAGAGGGUGACCGGCCACAUUGGGACUGAGAUACGGCCCAGACUCCUACGGGAGGCAGAAGUGGGGAAUAUUGCAGAAUGGGCGGAAGGCUGAUGCAGCAACGCCGCGGGCGGGAUGACGGCCUUCGGGUUGUAGACCGCUUUCGCCUGUGACGAAGAGUGAGAGACGGUAAUGGUUAAAGAAACACCGGCUAACUACGUG